GAAUAUAAGUGAAUUGCCCACCUCUCCCCAUCACCUUAAGCUUUUGGGUUGAACUGGUUGGUGCAUGCAACUCAAUAUUCACAACUAUAGUGAGAGAGUCAUGUGCUUUCCUCCCCAUGGCUGGUUCAAGUCUGGCUUUGAGGCCGUUGAGGUGACGAAAAGAGGGAGUUGUCCUCACUGCCUAGUGAGCGCUGUGGUGUACAUGUGAGGAUGCUAGGAUGGAUGUUGGCUAAGAUCAUGGUUUGGAGAUGAAGCCUUUGAGAGGCUAAAGGUUGUGUUGAGAGGAGGCAAUGAGCUACACCGAGGUCUUGGAGAAGCCUUGAACCCAGUUGUGAGGUCGUAGAUAACCUCAGAAAGGUGAUUAUUAUGUUACUUUUGCUUCUUGCUUGUGCUAAAAUAGUAAACUUAAACCACAACCAAAUAUUCUAGGAUCACCAUAUCCCUUUCGUUUAUUUUCCAAUAUACGCUCUUGGUGCUUAUCAUAGCCUGCAUGUUCUAGUGGUGUUUAGUUAGUAGGGGUAAGCUUGACUUUGACACUUUGAAGGCUCGGAGGAUAGGAAGGACUUCGUUCACACUCAAGGAUGCAUCUUUGCGCAAUGUCUAGUUCAUGAUGUAUGUUGUUUGAUCUAGUCCAUGUGAACAUGUACUCAUAGUUUGUAUUAAGCUUGGUCAAACAAACUCCUCCAUCCAGAAAAAUGCAAUUCUAAGUUCAGGACAAGUCAAACAUUCUUAAACUUGAUCAAGUUUAUAUAAAAUAAUAUUGAUAUAUAUUCUCAAAUAGAUUAACUAUAAAAUGUAUUUCAUAAUUAAUAUAAUGAUACUUAUUUGGCAUUAUAAAUAUUAGUAUCACUUCCUAUAAUUUUGAUUAAUUUUGUAUUUGUUUUACUUCUUGAGAAGUGAUUGAUUUCUUUUUAGGAUGGAAGGAGUAAUUUCGAUGUAAAUGCUACGUAUGUAGCUAAAAUCAUUUGAAUGCAAUAUUGUUGCAAAUGCUUGGUAUUUCAUUUCUGCUUAGAAAUUCGUGGCCCGUUUUAACUUCCAAAUGAGCGACUAUAUAUGUGCGACAGCUAGUUUUUUUUCUCAGCGUUAUAUUGAAUAUAUAAUAUCGACCGAAGUUCAAGUUCAAACAUGCUUGUGUUGAAAGCCGGUAUCCACAUGCCGUUUAGCAGCUCUAGCAAGUUAAGGAUGGGGAUUAUAUGUUCCUGCCGGUUGGUAGGGUUUAGAUUUGACUUAAGUGCCCAAUUUUUCAUAUUGUGUCUCCUAAAUUUGGUCAGGUUUGAAGGCUGCGGGCAGGCCUUUAUUAGCUAGGUUUGGCAGAAGGAGCACGUACUACAAGCCGUACUCAUAAUUUUCUUUGUUCAAAAAGAAAAAGAAAAAAAUAAAAAGAAAAGAAAAGAAAAGAUGAGUUUCAUUAUUGAGGAACAACGCCUAUAUAUACGUGCACAUGAUGUAUAUAUAUAUAUAUAUAUAUAUAUAUAUAUAUAUAUAUAUAUAUAUAUAGCUAGCUAGUCGUACUCCGGCCGAUCAUAUCGUUAGUGUGCUCCGAUCCCAAGUAUAUAUUUUUUGCCGUCGCCUAGUUCAAAUUUUGUCGAGCUACUCAUUUUUAAGAGUAACCGAGCAAGUGAAAGACAAGCUUUACCGAAGCAUGUGAGAAUCCCAUAAUUACUGGGGCACUGGGCCUGCAUUUGGCUUGUGUGUAUGUUUUACUUUUAUCCUAUAUAUAUAAGUAAGUAGUUAGAUAUCUAGGUAGUGUGGUCGUAAUUAAUAAAAAAUAGAGUGAUGAAUAUAUAACUAAUAUAAACAAGCUAAGCUAACACUAUAAGCAAAAAUUAUGGUAAUAGCGUACUAGUAGUAUUUUAUGGGUGAGCGAGUGAGAGAUAAGUUACAGAUGCAAGCUGCUCAUGAGGCCGGCCGGGCAGCGCUGGGCAUGCACACCAAACGAACUAAGCUUUCGGAAAGGCAGCAGCACUAGCAAAUAGAUUAUACUAUACGGCGGCCGGCGCCGUCGUGUUUCCUUUCCAUUGAAGCUAAGACAAGGCCGGAUCCCCAUGCAUUACGCCUAAUUCAAAAGCCAAAAGCCUACCUGCAGCAUUGCAAAAAUUGAAUGGUGCUGCUCUAGAUAUAGAAAAUUCGUCUACAACUUUAAGUUAAUUAAUUAAUUUGUGGCAAAAAAAAAAUUAAAGGACGUAUUGUAGCUAGGCAUUGGAACUCUCCCACUUUUCGGGGGGACUUUUCCAAAUCUACAAAAGAAGAGAGAGUACCGACGGUGUGUUUAGUUUAGUGUAAGACUUUAUCACAGAGUUUAAGAUAAUUAAUUAUAUAUUAUUUAUAGUAUUUUGCUGAUGUGACAACAUAUUUAUUGAAGAAAGAGGUAAAAAAAUAAGACUUCAAGUCUUAUUUAGACUCUAAGUCUACGUUGUUCGAGGUAAUAAAUAAUUUUAGACUAUAUGAUAGAGUCUGUAUUCGAGUGCCC
rnacentral:lncRNA from 1 species